UGCUUUGUUCUCAUUUGAUUAGCAGGAGACAUACAGUUACUUGAUUUGGGCAAAAUAGUUGCUGAACAAGCCCGGGUCUUGGAACCAGAUGUGGAAGAACCAACUGGAUUGGUUGAUUCAGUAAAUAUCUGGAACCUCUUCCCAUGUGAGCCAAGUACCGUCCUAGGAGCCGGCUCUCCCAUGGUGAGCAAAUCAGAUUUUCAUUUGGGGACCCUCUUAUGGCUGAGAGACAAAACCGGAUUUGUCUAUGAGCAGUGCAUAUAUCGACAAUUACUGGAGCCAAGAGGACACAGACAGAGAUGACGGAUAAUUGAAAUGCUAUUAAUUCUUUGGUGAAGAGGCCAAAACCCACAUAAGAAGACCACAGAUGCUUGGUUAAUGCCCUCUGAAACCAAACACGAAGACGAUGGGCAAACUCCAAGUGGAUGAUGCCAAAAGCUGAGCUGAGGUUCCCUUCACCUCAAAUUAUUUUCUGUUUAGCAAACAAUAGUCUUUUGCUUUGUGGAUGUCUGAUCUGUGACCUCCGCCCAGGUGGGUAACCCCUGCCCAAGGUGGCUGGGCCACUUCCUCUCUACCUGGAAUCCA